CUCGCCGCGGUCGUUUGAUUAAGGUAAGUUGUAUCGUUAGUGGCAAGAAUGUAAUCCCACGAAGCUGUCAUUGCGUUUAUAUAGAGCUGCUGGCAUUAUGAUGGUGGAGUUCGUCUCGUUGUGGCAGAGAAGUCGUCAGUGAGGAUUGUGGCUCGAUCAAUCACCGAAUGAAGCCCGGUGCGCCGCGUCUUGUGGCCAUAUCGUCGGGAUUGGCAGCUUGGGGCCGCCGGUUCGAGAUUUGUUACAGAGGGCCGUCGUAACGUUAUAGGCAUGGAAAUGGAUGCAAAAAUAGUAUUUGGUACAUUGAGUGGAAAUUAAAUUAAGGUACUUAAAGGAAGC